rnacentral:rRNA from 1 species
UACGGAGGGGGCUAGCGUUGUUCGGAAUUACUGGGCGUAAAGCGCACGUAGGCGGCUUUGUAAGUUAGAGGUGAAAGCCCGGGGCUCAACUCCGGAAUUGCCUUUAAGACUGCAUCGCUAGAAUUGUGGAGAGGUAAGUGGAAUUCCGAGUGUAGAGGUGAAAUUCGUAGAUAUUCGGAAGAACACCAGUGGCGAAGGCGACUUACUGGACACAUAUU